UAUACUCUUAGCGGUGGAUCACUUGGCUCGUGGAUCGAUGAAGAACGCAGCUAGCUGCGAUAAAUAGUGCGAAUUGCAGACGCAUUGAGCACAAAGAUUUCGAACGCACAUUGCACUAUCGGGUUGAUUCCCGAUGGUACGUCUGGUUGAGGGUCA
rnacentral:rRNA from 1 species